rnacentral:tRNA from 1 species
UCCCUGGUGGCUUAGAGGGUAAAGCAUCUGCCUGCAAUGUAGGAGUCCCGGGUUCGAUCCCUGGGUCGGGAA